UCAUAUAAAGGAUUGGUGUAACAUCUUCAUACAAAACAUAAAAGGGUAAAAAAAAAGUCAAAACUUUAAUAGUUUCAUACAAAUCUCAAGAAGUGGCGUUGACUCAAGUUACUGACAAUGAAAGUUAAAAGGAAUCUGGCAGUGGAGGAAGCAGGGGACCACCACCACGCCGACUACUAAUACUAACAAUGCACGUGUUUAGAGACGUGUAACACACGCGACUCGUGAUUCCCUCCACGAAAGGUGGCUACUUUCCGGCGUGAAAGCCAAGGUCCGGUUAAGGGUAUUUCAGUCAUCAAACCACCGACAACUAAACUCAAGAAACGAAUUGAUUUUUACAGUCUACGAGGCAAUUCAAAGUAGGUUCGUUUGAAUAACGUUUUGCUAAAAGUCAAAGAAGCUAAAACGGGUACAUAAAAUUCUAAAAUUUCUAAAUUUCUUAGAGAACCAAAAUUUCAUUUUUCUAAACUUCUAAACCUCUCGAGAACCAAAAUUAUAAAAACUUUAACUAUUUGUAUUUUUAUGGGUGGAAAAUAUAAUAUUUAAGGAGCUGGUUUUCAGAAAAGGUAUAAAUAAAAAAUAAAUAAAUAAAUAAAGAGUCUUUCACAAGCAAAAUAAAAUAAACCUUUUAAUUAAUACAUGAAAAGACUUUAUUGCGACGUAGCUUAGCUUCACCACUAAAAGACGCUCUGUUUUUCUUUCUUAUCUGUUUUUUUUUCAAAGAUCAGUGUCUUCACAUGUGUAUAGUUUUGCGUGGAUCAACUUUUUUCUUGAUGAACAGUAACAACUGUGCUUUGUUUUAGGGUCUAAUUAAAUCUCGAAUAAAGUUUAGUUUUUCACUUUAUAUCUCGAAUAAAGUUCAUGUCUUUUAUGAUCAGUUUCCCUAAAAAUUCUCAAGUUUUUAUCUUUAUCAAAACAAAAAAUAUUUAUUGAAAAUCCUUGAAAAUAGCAAGUAAAAUCAUCUGAAAAUCAGGGGAAAAUCGUUUCGAAAACUUCCCAAAAUUAAAAAGAAAAAAAAUUAGCAUCCUAUUCAAGAAUAAGAAUCAUCAGACAACGAAAUCAUCGAAAGAGAGAUCUUAACAACAAUCAUGCAACAAGGAAACGAAACAGAUCUAUCUAUUCUCUCAGUCAAGCAAAUCGUCGAACACUUUGAGUGCAUGAUCAAUCACAAAACCAUCGAUUAAGAGAGAAAAUUAGGAAACGGAACCAUACCAGAUCAACAGUUUCGUUCUUGAUAUCCUCGAGACCUGACAUCUCUCUCCUUCGUUCACGGAGAUGUCCAAAACGGCGUCUCCCUCAGUCGUUUCACCACUCGAUCACACACACCAGAGAGAGAGAAGUAUGCAGGUGAAACGAGCUUCUGUUGCAAACCUGAACGUCUUCUCCUUUUUAAAAACGACUUGAAACGACAGGGUCCUUCAUCGUUCUGGGCUCAUGUGGGUCCCGUACCAGACUUUUUAAUUUACCCUCGUUUAUUUUAUUUUAUUUUAUUCUAGUUUGGGCUCUUUACACCUUUGAUUAUGGUUUGGUGUCCAUCAAUGGUUCUUGAUUUAUUACUGGAUGCCUUCUCACUUGGAAAACGUAUUUGACAUUUUAUAUCUCGUUUGAAUAAUUAGAAUCAGAUAUUGGGGUUGUUGCUUUGGUGCUAUGCACAGCCAAAAUUUAGUCGAAAAUCUUAUAUAUCAAUCAAUUAAAUUUACUUUCUUUUUCAAAAUAUGUUACCGCAAAACUUUUUUUAGAGAAUUAAAAUAUAACUGUAAAAAUAUUUAUUUCCAGAGAAAAAAAUAGUGGUUUACAAACUUACAUCAAAUAGAUUGUGGAACCACCGUAGCUUAGUGGUUAUGGUUUAAAGGCUUCUACACCCAGGGCUCGGGUUCAAAUUCUAGACUAUGCAAUUUCUUACAGAUUGCACAGGAAAUCCAGGUUUCAAUUCCCAGAGCAAGCGAUUUAUUCAACAAUUAUGCGAUUACGGAAGAAAGGCUUACAAGAGUUUCUCAACAUGGUGCAAGUAAAUCCGGUCAGGCGUGAUCUUCAUAGGACGGCUCAAAUGAGACAGUUAGGCGUAGAUCCUCAUAAGGCAGGUAGUAUUGUCGGUAAUCGAAUCGUCUUUGUAAUCUUUCUCUUAAUUGUAAUAUCUAAAUAAAUCCCCGACAAAAAAAAAACUUACAUCAAAUAAGCUACAGAAAAUAAUUAUUUUUGUCAUCAGCAAACACACAGACUCAUGACGACUCUGCAAACCAAUUUGGUAGCUCUAAAUUCAUAUGGAUGACAAAUGUCGGUUGUUUUCUAGCAUUGCAUGCAAAACUAUUCGUCUUUGAAUUCACCGUUUUUGGUAUAUAAGGAGUUUGGAAGAGUGAAAACUGCCUUUCAAAAUCUUGAUAUCUUCUAAGGAAUUAGUAAAAACAGGCAAUUCUUCACCAAUUAAGAACAAUAUGUUGCAAAUGUGACAUGAUACUGACGUAAAUUCUUCAGCACUACAUUUCUCAAAUAAGCGCUCUACUUCCGGAUGAAGGGGUGAAUGACUAGCUCGAGUAUUUUGUGCCCCCAAUAAUCCAUCGAAAUCUUCUAGAGUGUUAUACCAACCUUGUCCCGAAUGUAAAUCCUUAUCUUUCCACGAUCCAUCUAUGAAACACCAUCAGCCUUAAAUUCCUUUGCUGCUUAAAUUUUUCUUUACGGGUAUACACCCUGAUACGAUUUCCAGAGAAAAUGCUUGAUUUUUGGUGGACAACGUAAUUUCCAACAAUAUGCCUUAAGAGCAUCAACCGAGGGUCCAUAUAGUACUGGUGGCUUUUCUCCGUCAGGAUAUCCACUUCAUUUAGUAUCCAGAUUUCACCGUAUAUUUCUCAUUAUUCGUAAAGUGCCAACCAUUUCUCUCAGACAUCUGAAUCCUACUUAGAUGCAUACUCUGAACAAUUUGUAUAUCUUGAGGAUCCACAAGAGACUGAAUUGCAUGUAAGUUCCAUGUACGUGAUGUCGUGUUGAUGAGGGAAUCCACUGCAAGAUUGGGAAGAAAUAUUUUGUUGAUUACUAUUUGUUGGUCCUUGGCGAGUGGUUGAAAACCAAGGAUCAUUCCAUACUGAAAUAGAUGAUCUAGAUCUCACCCUUUUGAUUAGUUUUUCUAUAGUAAAUAAAUAUACAGCUUAUUUUUUCAGAAAAAAAAUAAGAAGCUACAGCUCAUUUCAAACACCCUUAUUAUCUUUUUUUUUGGUGGUUGAGAUUCAAAUUUUCUUACUUGUUUUGAUUUUGGAACCGAUCGAUGAUGUAAUUUAUACUAUUUUAUAAAAUAGAAACUUUAGAAUUUAAAGCUGUAAAAUUUAAGAGAAAUCAACACGGAUCUCGUGAUGGUAGUAAGGGAACGAGCUUGGAAUGUCAACAUGUUUCCGAUUUUGAUCGACAUGUUGCAAUAAAAUUAAGUCACAUUGUUUUUAAACAAUCACAUAAAUAUAGGUCAUUGCUUUCUGUCCAUUUGAAUUUCUGGAGAGAGAAAAACUAUCUUAUGGACUGCAACUUCCCUGAAUAUUAGUAUGGACCCUUCCAUAGACCAUGAAUACCAGUUAAUAAAAAAUUAAAAAAAUUCCAGAACUGUCUAAAUUAUUAAAACAUAAACAUUUUAAAAAUCUAGUAUAAGAAGAUUGUUGAACCUAUGUAUAACUAUUUGUUAUUAUUUUUAGUCCUACUAUUAGUUCUUCUAACUAUACAACAUUUUACAUAUUUUAAAUAAAUUUUGUUAUUACUCCUCAUUUCACAUGAAUACGUGAUAAAACUUUUUCUCUAAAAAUAUUUCAAUACCUAGUGUUAUGAUUGUUGGGAAAUCACAUUAUAUACCAUAUAUGAUGUUCAAUAAUGGACUUAUAAAAUUUAGACAUUAAUUAUUAAAAUAAGUUAGCAUAUAUCAUACAACAUAUUAUACCAUAUCAUUUCACAUGAUAUAGCACCAAAUUUUGAAAAAUCAAAUCUGAUAUAAAAAAAACUUUACCAACCCAUCUGUUAAAAACAAAAUUAUAUAUAUAUAUAUAUAUAUAUAUAUAUAUAUUAUGUUAAAUUAUUAUUAUUUUUAAAUAAUUUAUAGUAUAAUUGUUUUAUCUAAUAAAAUUUUUAAAGGUAUUAAAACCCUAUAAAUCUAUACUAUAGAAACAUCCAAAAAUAUGCUAAGUAAAUCUCAAGUCUCACCAACUCAACAAAUGUAACUCUUAUAAAAUGUAAAAAAAAUAUAAUGAGAGAGAACAUGCAUGAGCAUUUGGGUUUUUGGAUCGGUACGAAUUAGUUCAUUUCGGUCCAGAUCUGAAAUUCUAGACAUAUGGAACUAACUUGAUGUUUGAAAAUUUUCGGUUCAUGUACAUAAUUCAAAUAACUGUAAAAUACCUAUUAUUUGGGUACUUAAAGUGUCCAGCUUGGUUCGGAUAUUUAAAAACCAAAAAAGACUCUAAGUAUCUGAAAACCUGAAAAUACCAAAAAAGACUCUAAGUAUCCAGACAGUUAGUUAAAUUGGUUCAUUCUUCUCUUUGGUAUUAAUUUAGUAAGAUAAUAAAAUAUUAAAAUAUAAAAAUUCAUAGAUUUGUUGAUUGGUACCUUUCAUGACACAAUUUAAAAAAAAAGGAAAUGUUAGUUUCGAUAAUUGUUACACAUAUAUUUCUAUAGUGGCCUCUUCCACAAAAAGGUUUAGAGAAAAACUAUUCUUUUAUUGGUCAUCAACAUAAACAAACCUAACUAAAAUUUUGCAAACUAAACUGGUAAUUUUGCAUCCGUAUGAACGAUGAAAGACUGUUUUUUUUCUGACACAUCGCGCAAGACCGUCUGUCCUUGUAUUCUGCGUCCGGAGUAUAUUAAUAAGCUCUGAAUGAUGAAAAAUUCCUUGUAGGAUCUUGAUGGCUUCCAAAUAAGUUGCAAAAACAUAUCAUUCUUCUCGUGCUGAAACCAUCUUCACCAAUUGAGAAAUAAUCUUUUGCAAAUGUAACUUGAAACUGACAUAGAUUCCUCAUACAUUCUUUUGUCCAUAUGAGAGGUUAUAUCUCUGAGUGUAUUGGUUUCGUAUUCCUUUCUCCCAUCAGUCCCUCAAAGCCUUCUAGCGUAUUAUACCAACCUUUUUCCCAAAUAAUUUUCCCGUUCUUUCCAGGACUCAUCUGUAAAACACCAACGACCCGAAAUUGAAGGUAAAUUUGUCCUUUCCAUCUCCAUAUAUUGGGUGAUUCCUUGUGUUAUUGAAGCAUGUGCCUCUAUCCAAAGUAGUGAUUCAGUUUCUGCUAUAUUUAGAGUAUCUCUAGGGUCAACAUAUAUAUUACUAAAAACCUUGUUAUUCCGUCUUUUUCAGAUAUACCAUAAAAUCCAUGCAAAUUGUUGAUCUUUCAUGUGCGAAAAAACCUUCCAAUACAGAUAAUCCAUGUUUGUAAAGAGCACCCGAUAAGGAAAAGUGUUAGAAUUUGAUGGAAUCUUAAAGAUAGCCCAAAUUUGAACUUCCGGAAGACAAUAAAAAAACACUUGGUUUAUUGAUUCCUCAUUGGCUCAACAUUGUGCACACUAAACAUCACCUUAUAAUUAUAUACCUCUGGCACACAAAUAUUUCUUUACCGAUAUACAUUCCAAGACUAACUACCAUAAAAAAUAAUUUAUUUUCGCUGGGCAUCAAAUUUUCCAAGAGAAAGCUUUUAAUAGGUUGACUGUGGGACCGUGCACUGGUAAUGAUAUUUCUCUGUUUACAUAUACUCCUUCUACUUGAUAAUCAGAUUUCACUAUAUAUUUUCCAUUAUUAGUGAAAUGUCAUAGAUCUUAAUCUCUGUUCGGGAACACGCUAGACGCUAGUCGAGCGGUCGGGUUGGGCCUAGCGCUUAAAGAAAAAAUCGGGGAUCGAUCAGAAAUUAUGCGGGGCAAAAUUUUUAGAUUGUUUACUAUAUUAUAAAACAUGUUAAUCUUUAAUUGUAUAUAACAUUAAUAUAUUUUCAGGUUUAAGACUAUAUAAAACACACAUAUAGAAUAUAUAAACUUAAUAUAGUGUAAUUUUUAUCAAAAUUAUGAAUAUAAAUGAUAUUUAUAAAAUUUUAGAUCAAAAAAAUAAAUAAAAAUAUUAUUAAAAAUAAAAUAGAAAUAAUUAAAUAAUUAAAAAAAAGAUUAGGCAGCUAGGCAAUCAUUUAGGUGGUCUAGGCAGAGAAAAUUAGAUAUCCAGUUUUUAAACCGAUUUGACAUAAAUCAGGGUAGAAGAGUGAGGCGUAGCGCCCAGACGGCCGAUUUUUAGAACAGGGAUAUUAAUCAACCAUUUGAAUCCAACUAGGUGUACUUUAUAUAUUUUUGCAUCUCCUGGAUCCACCAAAAACCAAAUUACCUAUAAAUUCCAUGAAUGUGAUGUUGUAUUGACGAGAAAAUCUACCGUAAGAUUCGGGUAUAGAUUUUGUUAAUUACUGUUUGUUGGUAUCGGACUGGAUGAAAAUAUUUAGAUGACAUGGGUCUUGUUACAAUUUAUAAAGAUAUUUAUAAGAAAUUAAAAAUUUCAUAUAUUUGUAGUCAUAUGUUCUGAGUUUCAUUAUUGUGUGGCUUUAAAGGAUGUUAAUGAAGCAAUGGCUCUUCCAAUGUGCCUCAUGGCAAGGUCAGCAAUUGCUGGAACGAUUCACAUGUUGUUAGUAUUAUUUUAUUUUACAUUUGACGAAAGUUGUUCCUAACAUUAUUUAUUCAUCGAUAUCGCUAAGGAGGUAUUGACUUCUGAUCAUGUUGGGUCCCUCAAUAAUGCACCUCCCCUACGUAUUUGUAUUUAUAUUUUCAUGAAUUCGUUUUUUUUUUGUUACUGAAAAGUAAAAGCCCAAACUAUUAACUACGUAUUUGUAUUUAUAAUUUCAUUAAUUCGUUUUUUUGUUACUGAAAAGUAAAACCUAUUAACUGUUUUAACCAAAGAUCAGCAGAAUUCUGGAUUUUUCCUGAACCGAUGAAACCAAUUUUUUUUGGUUUUCGAUUCAUUUUCGGUUUGAUUCAGUAAAUUUAAAAUUUUGAUUUUCGCUUCAGUUCGACAAUUGUUUACUUCUUCUUUUUUCAAAAAAAAAAAUUAUAAUCAAAUCAUAUAAAAAUUUAAACUUGAAAACUAAAUGUAAUCAAAAUUUCUGUAUUUAUUUGAAUUUUUGUUAAAUUAAUUUUUUUAAAAAAAUUGGAUUAUAUUAUGUAGGAUUUUCAAAAACUAAAAUAACUGAAUUUUGAAGCAAAUUUAAUUUCGAAAUAAUUCAAUAAAAUUUAGGUUAAACUGGACUAACUAAAAACUUAAUUGAGCUAACCGAAAACUAAACUAAACAAACCGGAUAAAACUAAUUAACUGAACCCGAAUGCCGAAGCAGAAACUACUUUGCUUGUCAAAAUUUGAAUUGCUUUUAUAUUCUUGGAAAUCUUGGUGAGGCACUGGUAGAAAUAAAACUGGAAACAACGACUAUAGUUGUUUUUAAAAUAAACUUAUAAGUAGAAUUGUUGUUUCUUUUCCCUUUCUAUAUACUAUGAACCAUUUAAUGAUCAUGCAUAAUAGCAAAAUUAAUAUUCGAUAAGAUUUUUAGAAAUUAAUAUUUUCCGGAUAAUCAACAAGAUAGAGUGUGCGACGAGCUUGCAACCACGAGUUGACCCAUAUCCUAAUGAGAGAAAAUUUGAUAAUUUAACACCAGAAUUUAUCAUCAAUCCAAUUUUCUUAAGUUAACAUGAUCUUUCACCAUUUGUCCUUUCUUCUAAACCUUACUUAAUAAACAAAUAAAUCUAGAUUCUAUUGACCGAUUUAUAUUUCUGAAUAGUUCUAGAUUUUAUCUAAUUAUAAAAGUUACCAAAACUAGUAUAUACCCCCAUUUCGGCAAUUUCCUCUGUAUCGUAUCUAAUUAUAAUAGUUACCAAAACUAAUUAUAGAAGUUACCAAAACUAGUAUAGAAUUCUGCAGACAUGUACGGUCUCUCACGCCUCAGUCAAACUCGAGAUAAGUAAAGAGUUGAAUCAGUGGAAUAGAUGAGUUGAAUCAGUGGAAUUCCUUACUGACUGCAAGCCUGUGAUAGAUGAGUUGAAUCAGUGGAAUACUGCAACAACCAUCAAGAUUGUUCGUAACACAGAGAUCACCUCUAUGAUCCAGGACAUUGUGGAAUUUUCAAAUAUAAUAGGUUUUUUUUCUUCUUAUGUUUCCAGAUCACACAUCAGUGAAGUUGAUGUAUUAGCUAAGAAGGCUAGAAUUAGUAAGCAAAACUAUAUUGUAAAAUGGUUCUCCUAAUUAAUAAAUGAAAACGUUGACAAAAAAGAUGUCACUUUUUGUGGACUUCAAAAGAACUGUAUAGAAACCCCCAAGUUGUAAUGUUUCUGUAAUUGCAUAUAACAAAAAUACGUAUAUUAUUCAUAGGGGUUUGAAAUAAGCAACAUGAGAGAAUAUUGUUUCUUCAAAAUAAAAAUUAUAAGAGAUUAAUUAUUACUCGAUUAAUUAUUUUUUUUGCUAAAUAAAAAAAAAUAUUUUUGUUGUAAAAAACUGUUUAACCGAUCAUUCUAUUCAUCUCAUGACCUACUACUAGUAGCGGUAGAUAUCUCAUCUUUCACGAAAGAAAAAGUUUCUCAUUUUAGUAUUUUAUGACUUAAAACACUUAACUUUUACCGUUGGUGAAUCUAUAGACGGUUACAAUUAAUUCGAAACAAACGUCAACUGUCAUUGAUUGUGGUGCCUAGGGUUUAGGAUGGGGACGUCACCUCUAAAACGUGAAACCUUACGGGACUGUUACUCGUUACGAAGCAGAAGAAUCUUUUUUUUUUUACUACUAAGCUUUUAAGGAGCUGUCAAUUACGAAGGUAACAGACAGAUGCAUCCAAUCAAAUCUUGCCAUCUGUGCGGUCCACAGUAAAUAAUCGACGUGAAGAAAAAAGGAGAAGAAAAAAGAAAAAGGCUAUGUAGAUCCGUGGUACUAACUACAGCUUCUGUGAUUUUUAAUACAACAAACCUAAAUCCAUUGAAACUCGUGAUGUGUGAAUCCACUUGAGCGUUGUCCAAAAAAAAAAGUGAAUCCACUUGAGCCAGACUCAUGCAAAAUAUAAUUGCUAAAAAAAACCAGUUAAAAUAAAAUACUUAAAACAUAGUAUUCCUUUGGGAUGUUCAGGUUUAGAAAUAUAGGAUCUGUUCAUGAAUUUUAUAUAUUCGAAUCGAGUUUGGUCUAGAUCCUCAGGAGUUCAGAUUGGAUUCACAGAAUCGUUUAGAUUUGAGUUUCGAAUAUUUUGGGUAUAUAUUAGUGGCGGAGCUAGAUCUCACUUUUAUAGAGAUCAUUAGUCAUUUAUUGCAUGUAAAAAAUACAUAGAGAAGACUUGAGUCUUGAACCUGUGACAUAUGGAUCAAAAAGAGCGAUCUUCACCAAUUUACCACACACAAGCCUAAAAACUUGUAUUUAUUGAUUUCAUGUGGGUCAAUUGACCCCAUGUCUCGAAGAGCCACUGGUAUAUAUCCGGUUCAUAUCGGAUUUAUAUAUAGAAUACAUGAUAUAUGAACUACUGCAAACAGAUCCCUUCAGAUAUUUUGUAGAAUUAGAUCAGGUUUAUAUUCUGGUUCAAAUUUUCAUAUCCUAAUUUUUUCAGCUAGCCCUGAUUGGUGGUGCCUAGGUAUUAGUUAAACUGUUAAGCACCCUUUUAUAACCCAAGGUCAUGUUCUAAUACAACCAAAACAUUAUGAAACUGAUUACAUAUUGUUGCAAUGUUGUUUACAAUAUUAUUUUGGGAAAAAAAUGGAUACAAACUUUCGUUGACUUUUAUGUGAUUUUUAAUUUUUGCAUUGCUUAUUGUUAUAUCAUUUUUGGGCGAUCGAGUCUUCUCUGAUUCUGAAGAUAACAUAAAAUUAGAAUACAGAUGAUGAAACAUACAUACGUAUAUGUAUGUGCCUGUGUGUGUAAAGGUUGGCCAAAGAGAGAGAAAGAUCGGGCAAAAUAGAACCAAGUCUAAAAUGAAGAUGGGUCAUUGAGAUGAUAGACAUCAUUUAGACAUAUAAUAUUAGAAAAAUCUAAGCUUUUUUGUCCCAUCUUUCGGUUUCAUGAAAGAGACCACAUAACAUAUGAUAUGUUUAUCCUUCAGUUUUUCUUUCUGCUUCUGCACAUGUAUAUGUAACCCACGCACGCACACAAAUAUAUACAAUACAAUUAAUUGUAGAACAACAAGAGUCCAAUAAUAGGAUGACAUGUGCACCAAUUAUAUUCAUGUAGUUCAACACAUUAUAGCAAAGUAUGUCAGUGGUUAUUACUUUACAUGUCAUGUUGGGAAAACUAUAACAAGAUAUUACUAAGUCCAAGUUCAGUGGAUUGAGAAUAGCAAAUUCUAUACUCUAAGAAACACAUAAAAAUGAUAAACUUUUGUGAAUUCCAUAGUUCUCCAUUUUUUUUUUUAAUUUGUGAAUUUAUCCUAAAUAACAUCAUUUGUAGCCAAAAUUCAUAAUUAUAAUAAUUUUAAUUAUAUUAAUUUUCUAGUUAACCUAAAAACACUAAAUAAUAAUUUUCUAGUUAACCUAAAAACACUAAAUAAUGCUGUGUUUUGUUUUGUCGAAAAAAAUGUUGUGUUUUGUUCAUAUUUUAUUAUUACUAUUUUGUAGAACUUCAUAAUAUAUUUAUGAAUAGCAUGCACAUUAACGAGUUUAAACUCAUGUUUAUCAUAUGACAAAUGCAUAAUUCAAAAAGCCUUUAAAAUGAAUAUUACAAAACCCGACCAAUACUAGCUAUAUGCAAGUACUGUCACUUGUUUUGGAAUCCUAAAUUUUAUUUAUUGAUCUUUUUUGUAAUAUCUAAGUUUUAUUUGGUUAAAAUACAUAAACGAUAUAAUUUUUUGAAUACGAAACAUUCUGAUGGUAGAAAUAAUAAACUCACUUUUAAAAAAAGAUCAUUAAUUUGGCUCGAAACAGUUAGAUUUCGAUGUUAUACAUUUAAAAUGCAUAAGCAACACAGAGUAAUAUAUAUAUAUAUAUAUAUAUAUAUAUAUAUAUAUAUAUAUAUAUAUAUAUAUAUAUAUAUAAUCGAGCCAUCUCAAAUAUCACUUUAUAAUAUAAUGUUGUACAAAGACCCAUUGUUUUAUUCCUAUUCUUAAAAUACAGUACAUAUGAUUUCAUAAGGUUGUUAAUUUUUAAAACAAAUUAAUAAACGUUCAAAAACCAAAUUGUAAAAAUGUUCAUAAAAUUUUGUAGCGUAAGAUUUUACAAGAAAUAUCAUGAAAUAUAUAAAGGCUUUGUAUGGAAUUUUAUGAUAUAUCACAAAAUAUUAAGUUUCAUAACCUGUCUAUAAGAUAGUUACGAAAAUAUUAUAAACUUUCUAAAUCAGUUUAUAUAUAAUGGUAUUAAAUAUAUUAAUAAUUUUUCUAAAAAUAAUAUCAAAUAAAGGGUAAUUCUCAAACAGUUAUAGAAUUUGGAGAUUUGAACUCUCUAAAGAUUUGUUUGGGUUUUGGUCAAAAAUCUCAGAGUUAUAAAUACCAUAAAUAUAUUAAAUAGAAUAAAAAGACUAAUAUGCCAUCUUUUGGUAAUUAGAAAAAAAUCGUUCAGAUUUUUAUCCGGCUGGUAGUAAAUUAUUUGGUGAAAUAGUAAACCAUUUAUAUAGGUAGGUAACAUGUCACUGUUGGUAGAAUGCUCUUACUUUUUUCCUAUCUUUAGUGUUCUUUAUUUCCAAGUCAACCAAGGAGACUAAGGUGUCCAGUUUCAGAGCAAAAUAGAAUAUUAUAUAUAUAUAUAUAUAUAUAUAUAUAUAUAUAUAUAUAUAUAUGAACCAAGAGAUUAAAACAAUAGAAGCAUAUAAAAUAGAUAAGAUAAACAUCGGCAGACUUUCUACUACAUUACAAUUAUGGAUGGGCACGGAUAGAAUAUCCGAGUUUUUAGGGAUAUUCAUGAUCUGAUACGUUUCGUCCUAAUAAAUAAUUAUCUGAUUUGAUUCGAUUAGUAGCUAUCCAGAUAAAUGGUGUCUCGGAUAUUUGAAAUUUUUUAGAUAUUUAACGGAUAUCUGAUUCGAUCCGUGCAAAUAAAAUAAAUGUAAUAAAUAAAAAUAUUAUAAAACUUAUAUAAAUAUAACAUUUAUAUAAAUUAUAUAUAUAAUUAUUAAAAUAUAUGCAUAAAAAGGAUCAGACUAGAUAUCGGUUUCUAAAAAUAUUAUAAAUUUGUGAUUUGCUUUUUUUUUGUGCCGAUAUUAUUUUUGAAAACUUUAUUUAAACGGAUACUAUAUAUUAGUAUUUUAUUUGCUUUGUAGAUAUGGAUAACUUGAUUUUUUUUCUCUUCAAAUCGAACGAAUAACGAAUCAAAUCAAAAUUACGGAUAUUUUGCUCGGGCCUAAUUCCAAUGAAUCUUUCUACUUGAUGACUAAAAAAGUAUAAGAGUUGAUUAGUGCACUGAAUAAAAAAGGAACCCAAGUGGCUGUGAGGGGAAAAUGAACCAAAUAGAAGUGAUCUGACUAAACAAUUGUUUUAUUAUUAACUAAAUUUUGAUUCACGCUUUCAAAUCGUGAAUUUUUUUUUGUCAAACAAUAUUAUUUAAUAUAAAUUAUAAUUGUAUUCCUAAUUUUUGUAUUUAAGUUUACUAAAAAUUUAUUCAUACAAAUUUUAUAACUUGAGUUUCUGUACUUAAAAAAAUAAUAGUACAAAGUCAUUUACUUUGAGAACUAAUAUAAUCGUAUUUUAGGCUGUGAAAUUAAUUUAAAUACAAAUUAUAAAAAAUUAAAUUAUAGUUAUUCGAUUAACUAAUAUGUACUAUAACGUCAUGUUAUAAUUUUAAAAUAAUAUUUUAUAUUUAAUAAAGUUAUUAAAGUUAUCAUUGUAAGUUUAAUAUAUACUAGGUGUCGUACUCACAUAUGCGGGCAUAAUCUUCUUAAAAAUAUUAUUAGUUUAAAUCAAACCAGUACGAUAAUCAUAUUUAUCUCUUCAAAAAAAAUUAAUCAUAAAAUUAUUUAUAUUUGAUAAAGAUUUUUGUUAAAAACACUCAAACACUAAAAAUAUGAUAGAAAAAUAUAUUUAUGCAAAUGUUUUUACCUGAUUAAUAUUUGAUUACAGAUUGUUGUAUAUCUUAAUUUAAAUAUUUUAUAAUAGAAAAAUAUUAUUUUAAUAUAAAACACAAUAUAUAUGAAUUAUCUUAUUUAAAAAAUGAUAUUAUUAACAUAAAACUAGUUUUAGUUAUAUUAUAAAAUAUGUAAAAAAUUCACUAAGAUAAAAGCACAAUAUAUGAAUCGUCUUCUUUUUCCAAAAUAUGAUAUUAUUAAUAUAAAUUCAUUUUUAAUUAUAUAAGAGAGUAUAUAUAAAAAUUCAUUAAGAGUAACAAUGACAUUAACGAGUUUAACUUUUACCCUGAUAGCUCUGUUGCGAAAAACCACUUCGAAAAUUUUGAUAAAGAUUUAUGUUAACAACAAUCAAAUACUAAAAAUAUUUUAGAAAAAUAUCUUUAUGAAAAUGUUUUUACCUGAUUAAUAUUUGAUAAUAAAUUGUUGUAUAUCUUAAUUUAGUUACUCUAUAAUAGAAAAUUAUUAUUUUGAUUGCAUUAAAUAUAUAUAUUUUUUUAAAUAUGAUAUUAUUAACAUAAAACUCGGUUUUAAUUAUAUAAUUCAUUAAGAUAACAACACAGUAUAUGAAUUGUUAUUUUUUAAAUAUGAUAUUUAAUAUAAAUUAUUUUUAAUUAUAUAAUAAAUAUAUAUAUAAAUUUAUUAAAGGUAACAAUGAUAUUAACUAGUCUAACUUUUAACGUGCGAGCUAAGUUGCGAAAAAUUACUUUGAAAAUAAUAGUAUAGAUUUCAUUGUUUUAUAAUAUUUUGUUUUACGGAAUAUCAUAUGUACAUAUGAAAUUUAUUCGGGUGAUGCAUAGAUGAACAUGUGAUCAUGUGGUAUUCAAUAUUAUUCAUGCGUAAGGAAAUAUUCGGGUGAUUCAAAGCAAAUAUCUCAGGACCUAAUUGAUUUCUAUACACAUGUUUGUGUGUAAGUUAUAUUCAUAAAGGCAAUAGACAAUUAUGGCACCACUAUAACCUAAUUUUAUUCUUCUUGUAAAUUUGUUCAUAUAUAUUCUAAUUCAAUUGUGGUAUAUGAUGCAUGUGUAUUCUUCUUAAAUUUAUUAGAAGGCCAUUACUCUA